ACGCACGCUGGCGGCGUGCUUAACACAUGCAAGUCGAACGGAAAGGCCCUGCUUUUGUGGGGUGCUCGAGUGGCGAACGGGUGAGUAACACGUGAGUAACCUGCCCUUGACUUUGGGAUAACUUCAGGAAACUGGGGCUAAUACCGGAUAGGAGCUCCUGCUGCAUGGUGGGGGUUGGAAAGUUUCGGCGGUUGGGGAUGGACUCGCGGCUUAUCAGCUUGUUGGUGGGGUAGUGGCUUACCAAGGCUUUGACGGGUAGCCGGCCUGAGAGGGUGACCGGCCACAUGGGGACUGAGAUACGGCCCAGACUCCUACGGGAGGCAGCAGUGGGGAAUAUUGCACAAUGGGCGGAAGCCUGAUGCAGCAACGCCGCGUGCGGGAUGACGGCCUUCGGGUUGUAAACCGCUUUCGCCUGUGACGAAGCGUGAGUGACGGUAAUGGGUAAAGAAGCACCGGCUAACUACGUG
rnacentral:rRNA from 1 species